UACGAAGGGGGCUAGCGUUGCUCGGAAUGACUGGGCGUAAAGGGCGCGUAGGCGGUUCGUACAGUCAGACGUGAAAUUCCCCGGGCUCAACCUGGGGGCUGCGUUUUGAUACGUGCGGGCUUGAGUUCGGAAAGAGGGUCGUGGAAUUCCCAGUGUAGAGGUGAAAAUUCGUAGAUAUUGGGAAGAACACCGGUGGCGAAGGCGGCGACCUGGUCCGAUACUGACGCUGAGGCGCGAAAGCGUGGGAGCAACAGG
rnacentral:rRNA from 1 species